rnacentral:rRNA from 1 species
GUGCCAGCCGCCGCGGUAAUACGGAGGGUGCAAGCGUUAAUCGGAAUUACUGGGCGUAAAGCGCACGCAGGCGGUCUGUCAAGUCGGAUGUGAAAUCCCCGGGCUCAACCUGGGAACUGCAUCCGAAACUGGCAGGCUAGAGUCUUGUAGAGGGGGGUAGAAUUCCAGGUGUAGCGGUGAAAUGCGUAGAGAUCUGGAGGAAUACCGGUGGCGAAGGCGGCCCCCUGGACAAAGACUGACGCUCAGGUGCGAAAGCGUGGGGAGCAAACAGGAUUAGAUACCCGGGUAGUCCGGCUGACUGACU